rnacentral:antisense_RNA from 1 species
GUACGCUUUCAGUGUGCGCUGGCAGAGGGCCGAGCGGACGCAAUCGUCGGUAGUAAAGCGGACGAUACCGACCAUUUCAUCUUCCUCAAAACGUGCCAGCGCAUCGCUCAGGCCGGACUUAACGCCCGACGGCAAAUCACACUGGGUAAUAUCACCGUUAACGAUGACGGUCACGUUUUCCCCGAGGCGCGU